rnacentral:lncRNA from 14 species
GUAUGAACCAGCUGGGGAAGGCAGCAGUAUUUCUCCAUCCCUCACGAAGGUGCCUGCAAUAUUCCAGGAGCUUUUUGAGUGCUCAGGAAAGCUGAGAGCCCAGCUGAGGACAAACGGGAGUACGUUGCCAGGGCAACAGAGUGUAAGCAGGAGAAUAGCACCUUGCGAUCACAAAGACAAAUCGCAGAAGGAAAUUUCAUGCCCCUCCCUGGCUCAGCGCCCGGUGCCAACAGAACACCUUGCAGGAUCCUCAGCAGCGCAGACAACGGUAAGGACGCCAGCCGCCUGGCACAGCUCUGCCGCCUGGUGCAGGGGGGCAGGGAAGAGCCCACAGCAGAGCCCAGGACUGCAGAGGAUGGACGGAUGGAUGGACAGACGGGCGGACGGACGUUGGCAUACGACUGGGGUGCUCCUGCCUCGUCCUCCAACGUGUCACCAUUACAAUUUGCUAUAAACAAUCAAAGCAACCCCUCCCCUCGCCUCUUCCACCCUCUCUCCUCACAGCAGGGCAAGCUCUGUAGAAGUUGCAGCAGGGAAACCAUGCCCCAGAGCUUAGCACAGCACCUGAGUGACCACUGCUGAGGUGGGGCAGCAGAGGAUGCUGACCGGGGUAGGCUUGUCCUGUCUUCAGGGCUCCUUUUAGGCUCCUUAAUGGCCUCAGAUACAUCGCUUGGGGUGAAGCAUCUCAACCAGGGGAAAGUUAGUUUGUAAUUAAGAGGGAAAUAAACCAUGUGAGGGCUUUUUGUUGGUAUUUUGC